rnacentral:misc_RNA from 1 species
AUUAACCACGAGCUGCUGCGUUUCAGUGCCUUCAUUUAUUUUACUUCUAGUCCAAUCGAGUGAUGGAACUCGGUGCAGAUUCAUGCGAUAUUAAAAAAAAAGAAGAGAUUUACAAAAAUGUUGCUAGGAGCAAAAGUCCAAUACGGAUUAACUUUCCAUCCGGGGGCAAUUUCGAUUUUUAGCGAGCGUUUCGCGUGUUCUGUUAAUUUCUGUUAAUUUGUAAGUUCCAAGUUACUAAACUCGACCUUUUCUCUAUCACAUUAAAAGUCUCC